UCUCAGCUCAAACCCUCACCAUCUUCAUCUUCUCAACUCCAUAUGAAAACCAAACUUCAAUUCACCAUAACUUAUUCGUUUUAGCUCGGUUUUGAUCGAUUCUUGCGGCAACGGAAAGAGGAGAACCAUACCUAAUGAUUGAGCCCAAUAAGUCAAGACAAACCGAGAGGCGACGGGAUCGACGGUUUUGGCCUAGGAGUAUUCGGCCAAGACUAAUGCAUGUAAAUGAUUUGGAUUGGAAAGCAAGGAGUACCUAGACUUGGAGUGACUAGAAGUCUAUCGUUUUGCCGGGAGUCUGUCUUGCCAUGUACAGUCUGACUUCCUUGACCGCUGCAGUAGUAUAUUGUGUGACAAGUUAUGACCUAGGAUAAUGUUAUAGUGUUGGAAAAUGUUUAUAAUUGCUGUUGUGUAUAAAAUGAAUAUUAUAACAAUGUUAGAUAUACAUAGUCAGUGUUUAUAAAAUGGCUAGUAAUGUUUUCAUAAUUAAA